rnacentral:rRNA from 1 species
CAAAGGUAAACGGGUGGGCCCUCGAAAUCAUGUGGCGGGAGGAUUCAGUCUGGAUUCGGCGUCGCGCUGGUCGGAAAUUCGGAAGGGCUUCCCUCGAUCGGGGCCGUCCGACCGCGAGCUUCGCCGAGGCCAGACGCAUUUGUCUCCCGCUCCGAGGACGCCGCAGCCGGUCUGGCAGUGCAAACGUGACGGCCUGGAAGUCGGGGCGACGCAGGUGGCCGGUGGCGAUCUUCGGGUUGCCGCCGGUUGUUAGCAGCCCCGUCGGUGGCCCGUCGCCGGACCGAGGUAUCGAGACGCCCUCCGGGGCGUCGGCAUCUCCUCUCCAUUGAAGUCGGGACGUCUGUCGCGAGCGAAGGCAGCCGCGCGGCCGCACUCCGUCGGAGUGGGCCCGCGUCUUAGUCGGCGCCGCCGGUGGCAGUGGACCCGUCGGAGGUCGGAGGUUGGCGGCGAGUAGGUCGGUCACCCACCCGACCCGUCUUGAAACACGGACCAAGGAGUCUAACAUGUGCGCGAGUCAAUGGGUCUUGAACAAGCCCAGAGGCGCAAUGAAAGCGAAGGCCGGCUCCACGCCGACCGAGUCGGGAUCCGCGACCCCCGGGUCGCGGCGCACCGACGACCCGUCCUGUGCCGUUUACGGCUUGGGCGGAGUGUGAGCGUACACGUUGGGACCCGAAAGAUGGUGAACUAUGCCCGGACAGGACGAGGCCAGAGGAAACUCUGGUGGAGGUCCGCAGCGGUCUGA